GCCGGCCAUGCAACCUCCUUCCCUCAGGGCCAGCUCGGCCGCGGAUCCUGCCAGCGCCGCGAACACCCGACCCACCACAGUCAGAAACAGCGUAAUGCUGGUAGCAGGGGGACCCAGCUAUCAUACAACCACCUGAACAUGGAAUAGCUAGAAGAUGCUAUUGGAAAAUGAUUUUAACAGGACAACACUGCCAACUGUAGAGGAAAUGAGGCAGCACAAAAAUAGAAACUGCUGACUGAACUCCCAUCAUGUUUUUCUGGACUCUUUCUGUUUUUGAGAGAUUGGCUUUGAAGAAUUACUACAGUUAACGGUCCACCGCUCCCGGUCAGAUUUCACAUUGAUGAUGCAUUUCAGAGCAGACUCUUAUCUGAUGUCUUGACAGAAAGUAAUUGAUCUUUGUAACUUACAUAAGUUCAGCUUUUUCUUAACUGGUGAACCUUUGUUGUUAAGAAUUACAUUACAAUGGUAACAUUUCUGGAAGGGAAAUGUUGUUUUCUGAAAUGUGUUCAAGCAGAUUGACUUAAACAUAAGUAUAUAUGGUAGCCUGCAAUUGUAUAAUGCUGAUCCUUCCAUUGUUGGACUGAGGCUCCUAUUAUCCUCAGUUUGUAUGGUCGGAGAUCAUGGAUAAUAGGAAUUAUAGUACAAUAACAUAUGGAGAACUAUAAAUUCUCCAACUCUUUCAUAAAUAUUUAGCUCAUUGUAAGUUCAAUUGCCUAUUAGACCCUGUAU